GAUGAAGAACGUAGCGAAAUGCGAUACGUAAUGUGAAUUGCAGAAUUCAGUGAAUCAUCGAAUCUUUGAACGCAUAUUGCGCUCUUUGGUAUUCCGAAGAGCAUGCUUGUUUGAGUAUCAGUAAACACCUCAACCUCUUCUUGAUUUUUCAAAAGGAGGGUGGACUUGAGCUAUCCCAACAACCUUUACCGGUCGGCGGGCGGCUUGAAAUGCAGGUGCAGCUGGACUUUUAUCUGAGCUAAAAGCAUAUCUAUUUAGUCCUCGUCAAACAGGAUUAUUACUUUUGCUGCAGCUAACAUAAAGGAUAAUUGUCCUCUUUGCUGACUGAUGCAGGAUUUUACGACACUUUAUGUGUUGUUCGACUCGAUCUCAAAUCAAGUAAGACUACCCGCUGAACUUAAGCAUAUCACUAAGCGGAGGA
rnacentral:misc_RNA from 1 species